rnacentral:rRNA from 1 species
GUACGGAGGAUGCAAGCGUUAUCCGGAUUUAUUGGGUUUAAAGGGUGCGCAGGCGGAAAAUUAAGUCAGUGGUGAAAUCCUACAGCUUAACUGUAGAACUGCCAUUGAUACUGAUUUUCUUGAGUGCAGUUGAGGUAGGCGGAAUGUGUAAUGUAGCGGUGAAAUGCUUAGAUAUUACACAGAACACCGAUUGCGUAGGCAGCUUACUAAACUGUUACUGACGCUCAGGCACGAAAGCGUGGGGAGCGAACAGGAUUAGAAACCCCUGUAGUCC